rnacentral:rRNA from 1 species
AACGAACGCUGGCGGCAUGCCUAACACAUGCAAGUCGAACGAGACCUUCGGGUCUAGUGGCGCACGGGUGCGUAACGCGUGGGAACCUGCCCUUAGGUUCGGAAUAACUCCCCGAAAGGGGUGCUAAUACCGGAUAAUGUCUUCGGACCAAAGAUUUAUCGCCUUUGGAUGGGCCCGCGUUGGAUUAGCUAGUUGGUAGGGUAAAAGCCUACCAAGGCGACGAUCCAUAGCUGGUCUGAGAGGAUGAUCAGCCACACUGGGACUGAGACACGGCCCAGACUCCUACGGGAGGCAGCAAGGGGGAAAAAUGGGCCAUGGGCGGAAGCCUGAUCCAGCAAUGCCGGGUGAGUGAUGAAGGCCUUAGGGUUGUAAAGCUCUUUUACCCGGGAUGAUAAUGACAGUACCGGGAGAAUAAGCUCCGGCUAACUCCGU